UACGGGGGGAGCAAGCGUUGUUCGGAUUUACUGGGCGUAAAGGGCGCGUAGGCGGCCACUGCAAGUCAGUUGUGAAAUCUCCGGGGCUUAACCCGGAAAGGUCAACUGAUACUGCAGGGCUAGAGUGCAGAAGGGGCAACUGGAAUUCUCGGUGUAGCGGUGAAAUGCGUAGAUAUCGAGAGGAACACCUGCGGCGAAGGCGGGUUGCUGGGCUGACACUGACGCUGAGGCGCGAAAGCGUGGGGGAGCAAACAGG
rnacentral:rRNA from 1 species